rnacentral:tRNA from 2 species
GGAGAGGUGGCCGAGUGGCUGAAGGCGCUGGUUUGCUAAAUCAGUAUGCGGGUAACCGUAUCGAGGGUUCGAAUCCCUCUCUCUCCGCCA